UACGGGAGGCAGCAGUGGGGAAUAUUGCACAAUGGGCGCAAGCCUGAUGCAGCCAUGCCGCGUGUAUGAAAAAGGCCUUCGGGUUGUAAAGUACUUUCAGUCGUGAGGAAGGUGUUAAGGUUAAUAACCUUAGCAAUUGACGUUAGCGACAGAAGAAGCACCGGCUAACUCCGUGCCAGCAGCCGCGGUAAUACGGAGGGUGCGAGCGUUAAUCGGAAUUACUGGGCGUAAAGGGCACGCAGGCGGUUAAUUAAGCUGGAUGUGAAAUCCCCGGGCUUAACCUGGGAAUGGCAUUCAAGACUGGUUAGCUAGAGUCUUGUAGAGGGGGUAGAAUUCCAUGUGUAGCGGUGAAAUGCGUAGAGAUGUGGAGGAAUACCGGUGGCGAAGGCGGCCCCUGGGACAAAGACUGACGCUCAUGUGCGAAAGCGUGGGGAGCAAACAGGAUUAGAUACC
rnacentral:rRNA from 1 species